GCAAGGGCAACUUGUUUCACUUUGACCUUCCCGUGAGAACCAGGGGCACAAACAUUUUCUCAGAACAACAAAAAAGUGCCUGGAACGCCAUAUGAAGACUAAGAGGCUCAUCCUCCCGCUCCUGUCUGUGUGCAGAGAUCUUCUGGGUUUUGUAUGCCGGUGGAAGAAGCAGCCCAUUGGGCCAAGAUGGAUACUUCCAGGUAUAUGGAAUCCAAGAGUGCAAAGCUUGCUGCGUUGCUGGGAAACUUCAGCUAAGGAAGCAGUCUCUGGAAAGUGAGGAAGAGAUGCCGCUCACGGGGCCGGGCGGGAAAUGUCACCCAGCUGGGCGGCCCAGCACCUGUGUAGGCCGCACUGCUUACAGGAAGCACCCUGCGUUCAAGUCCAAAGUCCUCAUCACCACCCAACAAGAGAGGUACAACUGCCUGUGUUUAGUGGAUGAAGAUGCUAACACCCACAAGGACAAGGUAAAAUGGGAGUAAAGAGCACCCAGAGAAAAGAAGCAGAUGGGAAACCCCCGCUAUGAGAAUGCCUUGCCCUACAAAACCUCAUCACAGGGGCAGCAAGAGGAGCUGCCCUCCACGUGCCUUACCCGAGUAGUUCCUAAAUCCUUAUUCUUGGAUAUGAGAGGGCUGGAUGCCCAAGAAUCUCCUGGGUAACAUUUACAACAAAACCCCAGAAAAACAGAAUCCUGGCUUCCCUCUGAUUUGGAGGGGGUCAGGUGGGGUACAGCAGGGUGAGCAAGAAUUAGUCUAAGGGACCAGUGUUUUUGUCUGGUUCCAGCUGCUGUCUUAGCAAACGUGACCCUGGCUAACUUAUACAGAACAGAGAUUAAUUUCAUACAGUUCUUCAGGCAGGGAAGUUCGAGGUUGAGGAGACUGCAUCUCCCAAGAGACUUCUUACUACAUUUUUGCAUGGUAGAAGGCAGAGGGCAAAAAAGCAUAUGCGUUGUAUGUACACAGAGAUGAGGGGUGAGGAGAAAAGGAUGUGGUCAAACUUAUCCUUUUAUCAGGAACUACUCCUGAGAUAACUAAUCCAGUCUUACAAUAACACCAUGAAGGCAGAGUUCUUGCAACCUAAUCACCUCUUAAAGCACUACCUUUUAUUACAUGAACACAUAGGGAUUAAGUGUCCAA